UACGUAGGGUGCGAGCGUUGCCCGGAUUUAUUGGGCGUAAAGGGCGCGUAGGCGGCUACGCACGUCCGUUGUGAAAUCGCUCGGCUCAACUGGGAGGGUGCGCCGAAUACUGAGAGGCUAGAGUGUGGGAGAGGAAAGUGGAAUUCCUGGUGUAGCGGUGAAAUGCGUAGAUAUCAGGAGGAACACCGGUGGUGUAAACGGCUUUCUGGACCAUAACUGACGCUGAGGCACGAAAGCGUGGGUAGCAAACAGG
rnacentral:rRNA from 1 species